rnacentral:rRNA from 1 species
UUGAUCCUGCCGGAGGUCACUGCUAUCGGGGUUCGACUAAGCCAUGCGAGUCGAGAGGUGCAAGACCUCGGCGUACUGCUCAGUAACACGUGGAUAAUCUACCCUGAGGCGGGGGAUAACCCCGGGAAACUGGGGAUAAUACCCCAUAGGUUAUAGAGGCUGGAAUGCGCUAUAACCCAAAGCUCCGGCGCCUCAGGAUGAGUCUGCGGCCGAUUAGGUUGUUGUUGGGGUAACGGCCCAACAAGCCGAUAAUCGGUACGGGUUGUGGGAGCAAGAGCCCGGAGAUGGAUUCUGAGACAUGAAUCCAGGCCCUACGGGGCGCAGCAGGCGCGAAAACUUUACAAUGCGAGCAAUCGUGAUAAGGGGACCCCGAGUGCCUGUAUACGCAGGCUGUUAAGAUGUCUAAAAAACAUCUUGAGAAAGGGCCGGGCAAGACCGGUGCCAGCCGCCGCGGUAAUACCGGCGGCUCGAGUGGUGGCCACUAUUACUGGGCUUAAAGCGUCCGUAGCUGGGUUGUUAAGUCUCCUGGGAAAUCUGCCGGCUCAACCGUCAGGCGUUCAGGAGAUACUGGCAAUCUCGGGACCGGGGGAGGUGAGAGGUACUCCGGGGGUAGGAGUGAAAUCCUGUAAUCCUCGGGGGACCACCUGUGGCGAAGGCGUCUCACCAGAACGGCUCCGACAGUGAGGGACGAAAGCUGGGGGAGCAAACCGGAUUAGAUACCCGGGUAGUCCCAGCUGUAAACGAUGCGCGUUAGGUGUGUCGGUAACCACGAGUUACCGAGGUGCCGAAGGGAAACUGUUAAACGCGCCGCCUGGGAAGUACGGUCGCAAGGCUGAAACUUAAAGGAAUUGGCGGGGGAGCACCACAAGGGGUGAAGCUUGCGGUUUAAUUGGAGUCAACGCCGG